GAUGAAGAACGCAGCGAAAUGCGAUAAGUAAUGCGAAUUGCAGAAUUCAGUGAAUCAUCGAAUCUUUGAACGCACAUUGCGCCCCCUGGUAUUCCGGGGGGCAUGCCUGUCCGAGCGUCAUUGCUGCCCUCAAGCACGGCUUGUGUGUUGGGCCCCGCCCCCCGGCUCCCGGGGGGCGGGCCCGAAAGGCAGCGGCGGCACCGCGUCCGGUCCUCGAGCGUAUGGGGCUUCGUCACCCGCUCCGUAGGCCCGGCCGGCGCCCGCCGGCGACCCCCCUCAAUCUUUUCAGGUUGGCCUCGGAUCAGGUAGGGAUACCCGCUGAACUUAAGCAUAUCAAUAAGCGGAGGA
rnacentral:misc_RNA from 1 species